UGUGGGAUUGGACUGGUUGUCUGCCUGGGUGGUUACCAUCCAGGACCCAAGACGGUUCUGUGGUCUUGUGGAUGCAGCAGAGUGCAGCACCAGCACAGAAUUGCAGGAAUGUCA